rnacentral:rRNA from 1 species
GACGAACGCUGGCGGCGUGCCUAAUACAUGCAAGUAGAACGCUGAAGGAGGAGCUUGCUUCUCUGGAUGAGUUGCGAACGGGUGAGUAACGCGUAGGUAACCUGCCUGGUAGCGGGGGAUAACUAUUGGAAACGAUAGCUAAUACCGCAUAAUAGCAGUUGUUGCAUGAUAACUGUUUGAAAGUUGCAAUUGCACCACUACCAGAUGGACCUGCAUUGUAUUAGCUAGUUGGUGGGGUAACGGCUCACCAAGGCGACGAUACAUAGCCGACCUGAGAGGGUGAUCGGCCACACUGGGACUGAGACACGGCCCAGACUCCUACGGGAGGCAGCAGUAGGGAAUCUUAGGCAAUGGACGGAAGUCUGACCGAGCAACGCCGCGUGAGUGAAGAAGGGUUUCGGAUCGUAAAGCUCUGUUGUAAGAGAAGAACGAGUGUGAGAGUGGAAAGUUCACACUGUGACGGUAUCUUACCAGAAAGGGACGGCUAACUACGUG